rnacentral:rRNA from 1 species
GACGAACGCUGGCGGCGUGCCUAAUACAUGCAAGUAGAACGCUGAAGAGAGGAGCUUGCUCUUCUUGGAUGAGUUGCGAACGGGUGAGUAACGCGUAGGUAACCUGCCUUGUAGCGGGGGAUAACUAUUGGAAACGAUAGCUAAUACCGCAUAACAAUAGGUGACACAUGUCAUUUAUUUGAAAGGGGCAAUUGCUCCACUACAAGAUGGACCUGCGUUGUAUUAGCUAGUAGGUGAGGUAACGGCUCACCUAGGCGACGAUACAUAGCCGACCUGAGAGGGUGAUCGGCCACACGGGGACUGAGAAACGGCCCAGACUCCUACGGGAGGCAGCAUUAGGGAAUCUUCGGCAAUGGGGGCAACCCUGACCGAGCAACGCCGCGUGAGUGAAGAAGGUUUCGGAUCGUAAAGCUCUGCUGUAAGUCAAGAACGAGUGUGAGAGUGGAAAGUUCACACUGUGACGGUAGCUUACCAGAAAGGGACGGCUAACUACGUG